UGAAGAGGAGUGUCCAGCUGGGCCCUGCACCAUCUAUAUGUAGGGAAUGGGGGCGCCUGGGUGGCUCAGUCGGUUGAGUGUCCGACUUCGACUCAGGUCAUGAUUUCACAGCUCGUGAGUUCGAGCCCCGCGUCGGACUCUGUGCUGACAGCUCAGAGCCUGGAGCCUGCUUUGGAUUUUGUGUCUCCCUCUCUCUCUGCCCCUAACCCACUCGCAUUCUGUCUCUGUCUCUCUCAAAAAUAAAUAAACGUUAAAAACAUUUUUUUAUAUGCAGGGAAUGAUGGAGAUCAGGAUUGCCUGGCUUUGGCAGGUUCUGGGGGCCCAGAUCCUAGGUGCCAGGGCCCCUGAUGGGGCAUUACCUGUGCCGUCCAUUUGUAAGGCAAGAGGAGUGUCUUGGUGCUCACAGCAGCAUCUGUGAGUUUUUACACAUGAUAAGCAGGCAAGUGGUUCAUCUGGGGAUCUGGGACCUGCUUCGCUGGUGGGCGGGGCUUCUGUCAUCCAAGCAAGCAUUUGAGGAUGGACUUGCAGAGCUGAGGAAUCAACGCUUCGCCGAUCUCGGCCCAGAGAAUCACAGAGUUUAAUUAUCCAGGCCCCCAGCUCGGGUCCCAGGCUCAGCAACAGAAGGAAGAAGGCCUCAUGGAUGGUGGGAAGCAGGUGCUUCCCUGGGGCCAGUGACUUCACAUCCUCGCCUCCCAGAACAGAUGACCUGCGUCUCAUCACGUGCUACCCCUGCAAUGGGAGCUCCCAGCCUCCACCUGAACUCCACCUGGGGCCCAUCUUACCCUGGGCUCCAUCCUGCCCCAUGUCAGACCUUGUACCACCCACCCAUCACCCCAUCCCAGGUCUGUGACAGGGGAUGAGAGGCAGCAGGAGAGCUGUGUGCCCUCACCCAUGACCUCUGUCCUCUGUCACCACUGUGCACUUUGGAGGUUGCACUGGCACAAGGUGGGAGCUGAUGGUGGUGCCGGGCAGGUCCUUGAUGCCCCUGGGCCAGUCCGCCCCAGGGAGCACUAGGGAUUGAAUAAAUAUCUGCCGUGUUUAUUAAAAAAUAAAUUU
rnacentral:lncRNA from 1 species